rnacentral:rRNA from 2 species
AUGGGGGCAACCCUGAUCCAGCCAUGCCGCGUGAGUGAUGAAGGCCUUAGGGUCGUAAAGCUCUUUCGCCUGUGAAGAUAAUGACGGUAGCAGGUAAAGAAACCCCGGCUAACUCCGUGCCAGCAGCCGCGGUAAUACGGAGGGGGUUAGCGUUGUUCGGAAUUACUGGGCGUAAAGCGCACGUAGGCGGACUGGAAAGUUGGGGGUGAAAUCCCGGGGCUCAACCCCGGAACUGCCUCCAAAACUAUCAGUCUAGAGUUCGAGAGAGGUGAGUGGAAUUCCGAGUGUAGAGGUGAAAUUCGUAGAUAUUCGGAGGAACACCAGUGGCGAAGGCGGCUCACUGGCUCGAUACUGACGCUGAGGUGCGAAAGUGUGGGGAGCAAACAGGAUUAGAUACCCUGGUAGUCCACACCGUAAACGAUGAAUGCCAGUCGUCGGGUAGCAUGCUAUUCGGUGACACACCUAACGGAUUAAGCAUUCCGCCUGGG